rnacentral:rRNA from 1 species
GAUGAACGCUGGCGGCGUGCCUAAUACAUGCAAGUCGAGCGAAUGGAUUAAGAGCUUGCUCUUAUGAAGUUAGCGGCGGACGGGUGAGUAACACGUGGGUAACCUGCCCAUAAGACUGGGAUAACUCCGGGAAACCGGGGCUAAUACCGGAUAACAUUUUGAACCGCAUGGUUCGAAAUUGAAAGGCGGCUUCGGCUGUCACUUAUGGAUGGACCCGCGUCGCAUUAGCUAGUUGGUGAGGUAACGGCUCACCAAGGCAACGAUGCGUAGCCGACCUGGGAGGGUGAUCGGCCACACUGGGACUGAGCCACGGCCCAGACUCCUACGGGAGGCAGCAGUAGGGAAUCUUCCGCAAUGGACGAAAGUCUGACGGAGCAACGCCGCGUGAGUGAUGAAGGCUUUCGGGUCGUAAAGCUCUGUUGUUAGGGAAGAACAAGUGCUAGUUGAAUAAGCUGGCACCUGACGGUACCUAACCAGAAAGCCACGGCUAACUACGUGCCAGCCGCCGCGGUAA